rnacentral:lncRNA from 1 species
CUAGAUGGUGCGUGGCGGUGGCCGGUUUGGUGCGGUGGGUGGGCGAGAGAGCAAGUGCCGAGCGGCAUCAAUUGCGGCAUGCCCGAGAUCGGAGGCAGGCGACCGUGCACAUAUGGCACCAUCCUUCUGAGUUCUGAAUUCUGAUGCGACAUGUGCAGGCCUGUUUGGUUGAGACGCGUCAAGAUCAUAAACGCUGCAGGAUCUAGCGGUAGAGACCUUAGGGUGGUGGCCGUGAGCAUUGCUGGAGCUGGGCCACGCGCCAGUUGGGAAGAUGCAGAUCAUUUUGGGCCUGCCCAUAGUUCUGCGUAGGGAAUCCGUGAUAAGGUAUGUUCGGUAAAGCUCCUGUUGCUCUGAUCCUUUAUACGAAGUGAUUCUCUGAUUAUGUAGUUGAAAACGAUUAUUUUGGAUAAACUCUACAUAUGAACCUAUUCAGUUCACAACAUCUUAGUUCAUUCGUGAGAAUCAUUUAACAGAAUUAAUCUAAAUAAAGCUUUGAAGUUCUGCCAAUAUGCCCUUAAUUUAUACCAAAAUCACUUAAAAUUUCAUCGUGGCCAAACAUACCCUCCGUCUAAAAAUAAUGCAACUAUAAUUUUAUCUUAAAUUAAACCAUUUUAAACUUGUCUAAAUUUAUAAAGAAUAGUAUCAAUAUUUAUAUAAUAUCAAAUAAACAUUCUAAGAAAAUAUAUUUCAUAAUAAAUUUAAUGAUACUUUUUGAUGUUAUAAAUGUUGACACCCUUCUCAAGUUAUUCAUAAACUUGAUCAAACUUUGAAAAAUGACUAAUAUUAAAUAAGAAUUGCAUUAUUUUUAAGAACGACUGAAAAUGUCUAUCCAGUCCCUCCCAGACCGACUUGAAAUAGGCUAUAGGACAAUGUCUGCUCAAACUUUUUGAUGGGCUAAAUUUGCUCAAGACUUCUAGGCAGUAGUCACAACGUUCCAGUUGAGGACAAUGUCUGCUUCCAGUUCUCAAUGGAAUGGUAUACACAGGUUUGCUAAAAGUGGAGCGCUAUGACUUUUUGAAUGUCAAAUGUUACUACACAGUAUAUAAUUCUUCUUAUGCCACUGCAAUGCUAGUCCAAAAACAGAACUCAAGGGUACGCAAUUAUAGUUUAAAUAAACUGACGCCAUGCGCCACACCUACGGAAUAUACAGCAGGAGCCCGCACUCCGAUAGAUGCUACAAAACUGAAGGUUACAGAACUACACAUGACCAUAUCAUCUAGAUGGAGACCUUGCGAACCCAUCUAUGCGAGGAACACAGGUUCUAUAAUAUGGUGAUGGUCUUAUGCUAAUUCAGUUGCAUAGUCCACCCCAUCCAGUCCUCUGUUUGACCCAUCUGGAGACUCGUCAGCGAAGUAUACAGCUGCUGAGACACUACGCCAACACCUUGGUGCCCAUAUUCCACCCUGCAAGAUGAAAUCCAUUGGAUGUAGCGACAAAAAAGGGGCAAAGAAUGCAAGGAAAAAACUAGGUCAGAAAGGCCAGUAUUCCUAGCACUAAAACUCCUUGUAUAUGAUAUAAAGAACUAAUCAUAAAAGGAAUACUUGGGAGUAGAACAUAAAGCAACUAUUACCGAGGUGUUUGCCCACCAUAAGGUUCAUACGGGGCAUAUUUAAUAGUAUGUCUCAUGUAUUUAAGCAGAUAUACAUGAUAUAGGUGUCAGCUAAUUUUUUGUUAGGAACAAUUUAAAUUUGAUGCAACUACACAUACAUUUCAAUUAACAAGUGAGCUCUCAAGUCUCAAGCAAAGAUAUAUAUGUUUCACCUUUUCCCUUGAUAAGUUAUACUCCCAACAGGAGACACUACAACAGCAGUUCCCGUGCAGAAGAUUUCAUCAGCAU